rnacentral:rRNA from 1 species
GAUGAACGCUGGCGGCGUGCCUAAUACAUGCAAGUCGAGCGAACAGACGAGGAGCUUGCUCCUCUGACGUUAGCGGCGGACGGGUGAGUAACACGUGGAUAACCUACCUAUAAGACUGGGAUAACUUCGGGAAACCGGAGCUAAUACCGGAUAAUAUAUUGAACCGCAUGGUUCAAUAGUGAAAGACGGUUUUGCUGUCACUUAUAGAUGGAUCCGCGCCGCAUUAGCUAGUUGGUAAGGUAACGGCUUACCAAGGCAACGAUGCGUAGCCGACCUGAGAGGGGGGACCGCCACACUGGAACUGAGAAACGGUCCAGACUCCUACGGGGGGCCACAGUAGGGAAUUUUCCGCAAUGGGCGGAAGCCUGAAGGAGGAACGGCGGCUGAAGGAUGAAGGGCUUCGGGUCGGAAAACUCUGUUAUUAGGGAAGAACGAAUGUGUAAGUAACUAUGCACGUCUUGACGGUACCUUAAGAGAAAGCCCCGGCUAACUACGUG